AUGCAGAAGAUGCCAACUUCAGAAGCUCAACUUCCCCCUCAGCAAGAUGGGGUUUUCAGUGGCUUUGUGGAAAUGGGGGGCCUCUCACUCUCCAGUUGUUGUGUAGAGGGCAAUCGUCUACCCUGCAUGGGUAGCAUUUCUCUAAGAAGAAGGUUAAGUAGGAUUCUGUUUUGUCUGAGAAAGGAGGAAAUCCAGAGACCACCCGCGGAAACCCUGCAGCUGCGUGUUUACUGAUAUCUGGUGGCUGAGCAGGGAGACACUGUUUACAGAUGUGUGGUUAGCAUCCAUCUCUGGUGGACAUGCGUCUCUGUCCAGCUGAGAUUUCCUUGCAAUUGUCUGCAGCGAGCAGCGUUAGGUAAUAAAGCCUGGGCGAGAGUCACACAGGUAAUCACCUUCUUCUCUCCUUUCACCCCCCUGUCCCCGUGACAGUUCAUUCUUUUGGAAAAAUUCAUUAACCUACAGUAACACUUUUCACUGGUGACAACUCUUAAGUAAAAGCAGCCUCGCACGUCUUACUUUUCACAGACUAUUCUCGCAGCUCCCUGAGAAUCACACACGUUUCAGAAGAACAAAAAAUAGCCUUGACUUGGGAUCAGUGCUGAAGCUCUGUGGCUGCCUAAAAAUAAUUCUGGUCUGGAUUGCAAACUGAUGGUCAAAGCAUCUCAGAAAUUGUAGCGUGGAGAGUGGAAGGGGUGAAAUGUACAUGUAUCGCCUACUAUGUGCCGUGCUCUUUUAUUUUUCCAGUGUACCUUCUUCAUCUUCAAAAUCAUCCACAAAUAGGGAGGGAAUUGGUGUUUAUUAAAAUCUCCUAGGCGCUCUGCUUUAUGCUAGGCGUUGUCUGUCACAUCUGCCAUCUAAUUUAACCUGCAGCCCCAAAGAGUGAACAUAAUUGUUAUUUUAUAAAUGAAGGUAAAGGUUGGAGAGUGAUUAAGUAAACCCCAGAGCCAAGAUUUAAACCCAACUCCUUCCAUGCCAAAGCUCACACCCUUCCAGCAUCAUUGCAGGGUCACUGUUGGUGAGAUCCAAGUCAUGGAUUUUUGGAGUGGUGGGUUGCUCUUCUCUAGUUAGCAAAUCCAUGAGAUUGCUCAGCUUAGGGGUCAAGGGCACUCUAGUAGGGCAGCCGAGUGUGUGAGCUUUGAGUCAAAUCCAUCUGUGUUUAAUUACAACUCAGCUGGGAGUUGUAAUCAAAUUGCUUAACCUUCCAGAGGCUCAGUUUCCUCAGUUGGAAAAUGGGGAUAAAAACAGUGCUACUCUCAGAUGGGGCUUCCCUGGGGGCUCAGUUGCUAAGAUUCUGGCUGCAAUGUAGGAGGCCUGUGUUCGAUCCCUGGAUAUG
rnacentral:lncRNA from 1 species